rnacentral:rRNA from 1 species
UGGGGAAUCUUGCACAAUGGGCGCAAGCCUGAUGCAGCAAUGCCGCGUGAGUGAAGACGGCCUUAGGGUUGUAAAACUCUUUCGCUAGGGAAGAUAAUGACGGUACCUAGUAAAGAAGUCCCGGCUAACUCCGUGCCAGCAGCCGCGGUAAUACGGAGGGGGUUAGCGUUGUUCGGAAUUACUGGGCGUAAAGCGCACGUAGGCGGAUCGGAAAGUUGGGGGUGAAAUCCCGGGGGCUCAACCCCGGAACUGCCUCCAAAACUAUCGGUCUAGAGUUCGAGAGAGGUGAGUGGAAUUCCGAGUGUAGAGGUGAAAUUCGUAGAUAUUAGGUGGAACACCAGUGGCGAAGGCGCCUAACUGGUCCGGUACUGACGCUGAGGAACGAAAGCGUGGGGAGCAAACAGGAUUAGAUACCCUGGUAGUCCACGCCGUAAACGAUGAGUGCCAGUCGUCGGGUAGCAUGCUAUUCGGUGACACACCUAACGGAUUAAGCAUUCCGCCUGGGGAGUACGGUCGC